GGGAAUCCGUCCCAGUCCCCUUCACCCGCCUCCAGGCUGGCGGUUUCUGUUCCCUCCAAAAAUCCACCCGCCUCUUCAGACGACACCACGAGGGCAGGAACUGGCUCCCGGCUGCUUUCCAGGGCACCCGCCCUGCGGCCGAGGAGCCCCGCGGGGCCCGUACCCCGCCGGAGGCCUCCGCCCGGCAGCACGCCCUGAGGCGGCAGGCGUUGGCCUUUUCGGGAUUGGGGAGGGGGGGAGAGCGUGUGAGGGCCACGGAGAAAUAAUCUCACUUUCCGCUCAAACUCAAAAUUUACUGCUCCUGUCUUUCACCUGCACCACCUGGCCUCGUGAGGCCCUGGAAGGAUCUGGGACGGGGCCAGGCUGAAAUCCUGAGGCCCCACCUCGGCAUGUGGGUAAUGAAGAUUUACCUCAGCAGCUGUGACUCCACAUUGGGAAUAGAUGUUUGACUUUGUCAAGAUACAUCUUCAGAUCCUAUGAAUAAUUGAUGAAUGAAAGCAAGAAUGUUGUUAUUUCCACCUCUAUC